rnacentral:rRNA from 1 species
CUCCAAUAGCGUAUAUUAAAGUUGUUGCAGUUAAAAAGCUCGUAGUUGAAUUUCGGGACCAUCAUGUCGGUCGUGCCUUGGUACGUACUGGUAUUGUUGGUUUCUCCCUUCUGACGAACCAUGAUGUCAUUUAUUUGGUGUCGUGGGAAAUCAGGACUGUUACUUUGAAAAAAUUAGAGUGUUUAAAGCAGGCUCACGCUUGAAUACAUUAGCAUGGAAUAAUGAAAUAGGACGUUUGAUUCUAUUUUGUUGGUUUCUAGGAUCGACGUAAUGAUUAAUAG